ensembl:rRNA 5S_rRNA 5S ribosomal RNA
UGCCACAGCCAAAACACCCUGCAGCCCAAGACUGGCUUGAGGUUACUUAAUGAAGCUAAGCAGGGCUGAGCCUGGUCAGUACCUUGAUGGGAGACCACAUGGGAACAAUAGGGUGCUGUUGGAA